AGUUUGAUCCUGGCUCAGAUUGAACGCUGGCGGCAGGCCUAACACAUGCAAGUCGAACGGUAACAGAAAGUAGCUUGCUACUUUGCUGACGAGUGGCGGACGGGUGAGUAAUGUCUGGGGAUCUGCCUGAUGGAGGGGGAUAACUACUGGAAACGGUAGCUAAUACCGCAUAAUGUCGCAAGACCAAAGCGGGGGACUUUCGGGCCUCGCACCAUCAGAUGAACCCAGAUGGGAUUAGCUAGUAGGUAGGGUAAUGGCUUACCUAGGCGACGAUCCCUAGCUGGUCUGAGAGGAUGACCAGCCACACUGGAACUGAGACACGGUCCAGACUCCUACGGGAGGCAGCAGUGGGGAAUAUUGCACAAUGGGCGCAAGCCUGAUGCAGCCAUGCCGCGUGUAUGAAGAAGGCCUUCGGGUUGUAAAGUACUUUCAGUCAGGAGGAAGGGUGUGAAAUUAAUACUUUCAUGCAUUGACGUUACUGACAGAAGAAGCACCGGCUAACUCCGUGCCAGCAGCCGCGGUAA
rnacentral:rRNA from 1 species